rnacentral:lncRNA from 1 species
AAAUAAUUUAUAAAAGCAUAAACGUAUAUAUAAAAUAAAUUACAUAUUAUAUUUUAAAAUAAACAAAAAUAAAUUACAUACAAAUAUAUAAACUUAUAUAUAUAAAAACAAAUAUACAAAUACAGAAGUUCAGAAACACCCAGACGCACACACCAAUGGAUACUCAAUUCCAUGCAUAAAUAAACACAAAUACUUGGAUAUUCCAAUAUUGGCAUAUUCAAACAUUUGGAUAUUCGGAUAUUCAGAUAUUCAAAUAUUUGAAUAUUUGGAUAUUCGGACAUUUGAAUAUUCCAGUAUUUUGAUAUUCCAAUAUUCUGAUAUUCAGACAUUUGGAUAUUCAGAUGCUGUGAUAUUCAGAUAUUGGGAUAUUUGGGUAUUCAGAUAUUCCAAUAUUCGAAUAUUUCCAUAUUCAGAUAUUGGGAUAUUCCAGUGCAGACACUUCCAGGUUUUCUGGCCGAGCUCGUUCCCCAAAAAAGUCCACCCCAGGGGUCCCUCAGUGGGAUCCUGGAAGAUCCCAAUCCUGUCUGUUCCCAUCUCCAAGAAAAACCCCUAAAAGAGUAAAAAACCCCAGCCAAGAGUGACCCGUGCAUUGAUAACGGGAAGUGCAGGGGACACAGAAGAGUCCCGGGGCCGCAACGCCGGGAAUUUGACAUAAAAUUAGUUUAUUUGAUAUUAAAAUAAGUUUAUUUGGGUAAAACCGAGUUUAUUUGGGAAUAAAAUGAGUUUAUUUGGGAUUAAAAUGAGUUUAUUUGGGAUAAAAAUGAGUUUAUUCGGGAAGCACCUCCCUCCCGUACCCUGCCCACUGCAAUAUAAAUAGAAUACAUGAAUUAAAAAUAAAUAUAUUUAUAAAUAGAAAGCAUUUCCAUGUCCCAAACCGCGUCCCUACAGACACACCCCGCGUGGAAUCCCGAGCGGAAUUUCACCCUUUUCCCAAAAAAUCCGCUCCUGGCGCUCCCAGAUUUCCUGGGAAAUGACGUCUUCACUCAUCCCCCAGCCCCCUUCCGCUCGGGGGGCUCUGGCUGCUCCCCCACAUUCCCCCUCGGGAGUUUGGGGAGAAUUCCCUGCGAUUUGGGGUUUUCCCGGAGCCUUUCGGGAUCCCCUGGGAGGGGCAGAAUUCCCGAAUUUUCCUCCCCUCUCCGCUCCUCCCUCCCGGCCGAGCUCAGCCCAAAGGAUGAAUUGUGGCCGAGGCGAUGACUUCGAACAAGCCGCCUAGAAGGAACAUUUUUCACGCUUUAUUAAAAAUAUUCCUCCACACACCCAUCCCAGAGGAAUCCACAUUUGGGAAGGCGCAGCGACCUCUUCAACCAACCCAAAAACCAUCGAGAAAUCCAUUUAAACCGCGGAAACAAAGCGGAGGCGCCCGCGCUGCCGCCACCUCGGAACCUCGGUGAUUUGGGGUUUUCAUUUGGGGUUUUUCGAGGGGGGAACAGCGGUGCGGGGGGGUCCCCAUUGUGUGCGCGGGGUUUGGGGAGGACGCGCGGGGGAAAUUUGGGGUUUGGGGACACCCGAUGGAGCCGGGGGCGUUCCCGGGGGUGCCCCCGGAGGGAACGCGGGACUCCCCCGCGCCCCCCGAGCUUUGUCCGCUCCAGCUCUCGGUUGAUGUACACCGAUCCCCCCCCGCCCCAAAUAAAGGGAUUAUUUGGGAGGCGGAGGUGGGUGCG